rnacentral:rRNA from 1 species
ACUGUUCGGCCCGAAGGUCUAGGAGCAGAUCGAAGGUCUAAUACGCCAGGAAGCUGCACGGCGACCUCCGACUGGAGGUGUCGUACGUUCUUAACCUCGUCGAACUUGAAGAUCGGGAACGCCAUCGCGGGGCCCCGCCGCGACGACUUCAUCCGGGCGGGCCCGAACCACUCCAACUUCUACCUCAACGGCAGGAGGUCGAACUCGUCGCCCAGCCUGUGCAGCGUCCGCCGCUUCCGGAACCGCCACUCGACGUGCCGCGACAGGACCGACCCGCCCAUCUCCUUCUUCUCCCGCAGCGGCUCGAACUGCCCCUGACUGAACCGGGUGGCGUGCAUGUGCAAGCCGAACGACCUGCCGCCGUGGGGGGUGCGCAGGCCGGGCGGGUGGAACAUGACUCGCCGCCGCGUGGGCAGGUACCUCCAGUACCUCUACGUGUCGUCGUCGCGGUCUCGGCGAUCUCAGCGGUAAGGGUGGCCGCGGCGGUUCAACUCGCGAAGCAUAGCAACAGAGGACGCGCGUAGGCAGGUGAAGAAGCAAAGGGUCGACUCGAUUCAUUGUGGGCGAGGGAGGGACGACAAAGAGCGCACGAGAGUAAAGCGAUCCUCAGUGGAUGUAGUACGGUAGACUUAGAACCCAAGACUUGAAGACUAGGUUCAAAGGGACUCGUUGUACUUGCUGUAUAUUGUAGACUUAGAACCCGACAGUCCAACAUAUUAAGAUCGUAAGAAGUGGAGGGCGAAUGUUGGUUCAUUUAAAACUGUUGUUUAAGUGAAGACGUGAUCAUCUCAUAUGACCUAUCCCUACUUAUUUCAGUGACGUCAGAACUCGAAUAAUAUUGAACAGUCAAGUCUGAAGUCUGUCUUGGGCCCAGAUCGAAAUCGGACUUUGAACCACUUUAUGGUUGUUGAAGUGUUAGUACACAGUGGUUGGUUCAAAUGGUCGAUGGUUAAGAGAUACCACUCGAUUUUUUUGUGAGGUGUCUUGAGCAUAUAAGACGAGAAGAAAUGGAAGGAUAAAGUUGGUUCAUGAUCUACUUGGCUAACUUCGGAACGAGCAACUAGUUUUAGCGUCGAAAACCGGGUCGACCCAGACAUGUUCUCGUUCCUCCUCCGGCGGUCCGUUCUUCUCCACGACCCCUUCGAACUUUUCUAACACUUUCUCACCCAGUUCCUCAACCGAUAAGUCUCUCCGGUUCAGUUGCGUUUACGGCACGAAAAGUGGAAGCCCAGUAUGGUAGAUCCCCUGUUGCUCAAGUAGACGCCGUCGAUAGCGACACUCAUCAGGCAGACACUGCGCGAGGCGUCACAGAAGCGGCCCGUGUUGCUCUAGGAGUUGCAGACCUUCCUAUUUCACUUCUUUUUCUUCUUUUCUAAUGAUCUUCUAAUGAAAAUCCUAAAAGAAAAUAAAGGAACGUUAAAAGGAAAAUAACCUAUGAACAUUUCUGUAACAUUAUAAGAAUGAUAUUAUUUUUAAUACUAAGAUAAAGU